rnacentral:rRNA from 1 species
AUUGAACGCUGGCGGCAGGCCUAACACAUGCAAGUCGAGCGGAGCGGCGGACGGGUGAGUGAUGCCUAGGAAUCUGCCUUGUAGUGGUGGAUAACGUCCGGAAACGGGCGCUAAUACCGCAUACUAUCAGAUGAGCCUAGGUCGGAUUAGCUAUUUGGUGGGGUAAAGGCCUACCAAGGCUACGAUCCGUAACUGGUCUGAGAGGAUGAUCAGUCACACUGGAAAUGAGACAAGGGCCAGACGCCUAAGGGAGGUAGGAGUGGGGAAUAUUGGACAAAGGGCGAAAGCCUGGUCCAGCCAUGCCGCGUGUGUGAAGAAGGGCUUCGAAUUGUAAAGGACGUUAAGUUGGGAGGCGUUACCAACAGAAGAAGCACCGGCUAACUACGUGCCAGCAGCCGCGGUAAUUC